rnacentral:tRNA from 1 species
UAGCUCAACUGGUAGAGCAUGGCAUUAAUACUGCCAGGGUUAGGGGUUUGAUUCCCUUU